CAUGAGUUCCAACACUCAUUUGGUUUACAAGACCUCAUUCUACCCGAUCUUCCGAUUUAGGUGUCGAUUCCCUAACAUAGUAUCUGUUACCCUAGGAACCGCUUCAACACUUGAACUCUUGGUCUUUUGAGCUUUGUUAUACCCUUUGAACCGGGACUAUACGCAACCCCAGGUUGAUUCUUGUAGGAUGUUUAAAGUUUUCGACUGUUCAAGCAUGCAACGCAUAGGACUGCAUACGGGCCUUAGACUUCUAAAACAAAAGAACAAUUACAUGUAUUCUUUGUUUGUAAAACGAUGUUAA
rnacentral:lncRNA from 1 species